rnacentral:rRNA from 1 species
AAUUCGCCCUUAGAGUUUGAUCCUGCGCUCAGGAUGAACGCUAGCUACAGGCUUAACACAUGCAAGUCGAGGGGAAACGACAUCGAAAGCUUGCUUUUGAUGGGCGUCGACCGGCGCACGGGUGAGUAACGCGUAUCCAACCUGCCCACCACUUGGGGAUAACCUUGCGAAAGUAAGACUAAUACCCAAUGACGUCUCUAGAAGACAUCUGAAAGAGAUUAAAGAUUUAUCGGUGAUGGAUGGGGAUGCGUCUGAUUAGCUUGUUGGCGGGGUAACGGCCCACCAAGGCGACGAUCAGUAGGGGUUCUGAGAGGAAGGUCCCCCACAUUGGAACUGAGACACGGUCCAAACUCCUACGGGAGGCAGCAGUGAGGAAUAUUGGUCAAUGGACGAGAGUCUGAACCAGCCAAGUAGCGUGCAGGAUGACGGCCCUAUGGGUUGUAAACUGCUUUUAUAAGGGAAUAAAGUGAGUCUCGUGAGACUUUUUGCAUGUACCUUAUGAAUAAGGACCGGCUAAUUCCGUGCCAGCAGCCGCGGUAAUACGGAAGGUCCGGGCGUUAUCCGGAUUUAUUGGGUUUAAAGGGAGCGUAGGCCGGAGAUUAAGCGUGUUGUGAAAUGUAGACGCUCAACGUCUGCACUGCAGCGCGAACUGGUUUCCUUGAGUACGCACAAAGUGGGCGGAAUUCGUGGUGUAGCGGUGAAAUGCUUAGAUAUCACGAAGAACUCCGAUUGCGAAGGCAGCUCACUGGAGCGCAACUGACGCUGAAGCUCGAAAGUGCGGGUAUCGAACAGGAUUAGAUACCCUGGUAGUCCGCACGGUAAACGAUGGAUGCCCGCUGUUGGUCUGAAUAGGUCAGCGGCC